rnacentral:rRNA from 1 species
UACGGGGGGGGCAAGCGUUGUUCGGAAUUACUGGGCGUAAAGGGCUCGUAGGUGGCCAACUAAGUCAGACGUGAAAUCCCUCGGCUUAACCGGGGAACUGCGUCUGAUACUGGAUGGCUUGAGUUCGGGAGAGGGAUGCGGAAUUCCAGGUGUAGCGGUGAAAUGCGUAGAUAUCUGGAGGAACGCCCGUGGCGAAAGCGAGCUCCUGGACGUUUUCUGACGCUGAGACGCGAAAGCCAGGGGAGCGAACGGG